rnacentral:tRNA from 1 species
GGAACUAGCUCAGUUCAUAGAGCGCCUGCUUUGCAUGCACAAGGCCCUGGGUUCAAUCCCCAGCACCA